rnacentral:rRNA from 1 species
GCUCAACAUGCAGUCGAACGCGAAAGUCCCUUCGGGGGAUGAGUAGAGUGGCGCACGGGUGAGUACACGUAGGUAUCUACCUUCGGAUGGGGAAUAACAAUCGGAAACGGUUGCUAAUACCGCAUAAUGCAGCGGCACCUAAUGGUGACAGUUGUUAAAGCGGGGGAUCGAAAGACCUCGCGUCUGAAGAGGAGCCUGCGGCGGAUUGGCUAGUUGGUAAGGUAAUGGCUUACCAAGGGCGACGAUCCGUAACCGGCCUGAGAGGGCGGUCGGUCACACUGACACUGACAUACGGGUCAGACUCCUACGGGAGGCAGCAGUCGGGAAUUUUGGGCAAUGGGCGAAAGCCUGACCCAGCAACGCCGCGUGAAGGAUGAAAUCCCUCGGGAUGUAAACUUCGCAAGAACGGGAAGAAUAAGUAGGGGACAAUACCCCCUAUGAUGACGGUCCGUUUGUAAGCUCCGGCUAACUCCGUGCCAGCAGCCGCGGUAAUACGGGGGGAGCAAGCGUUGUCCGGAUUUACUGGGCGUUAAGGGCGCGUAGGCG